UACGUAGGGGGCAAGCGUUGUCCGAAUUUAUUGGGCGUAAAGAGCGUGUAGGCGGCUUUACAGGUCCGUUGUGAAAGUCAGGGGCUCAACCCUUGAAUGCCGGCGGAUACUGUCGGGCUAGAGUCCGGAAGAGGCAAGUGGAAUUCCCGGUGUAGCGGUGAAAUGCGCAGAUAUCGGGAGGAACACCUAUGGCGAAGGCAGCUUGCUGGGACGGUACUGACGCUGAGACGCGAAAGCGUGGGGAGCAAACAGG
rnacentral:rRNA from 1 species